UUCAGCUCUACCAUUUCCCACCUCCAAUCCUUCCCCAAGUCAGUGACUCUUCCUGCCGGUUCACUCAAUGCCAGCCCUUUUAAACCACCUGUUGUACUACACUACUGUGAUUUUCAAGUGUAACUUGAGUGUGUAACUGUGCUAACAGAGAUUCUCUUCAAAGAAGCAAAGUGUCUUUCUCCAUCUUCCUUUCCCAUCUUACUUCUGGUCCUGCUCAGAGUGAGUCAGAGCCCCAAGAGGGAAUGGGUAGGUGCCACAUCCUAGAAAUGGGGAUUUCCUAACAUCACACAUUUGGAGCUGAGAUUGGAGACCCGUUCAACUGAUUAAUAUUCACAGGAAUAAUUCGCAGGAAUAAUAAUUAACAUCAAAAGAUGGGCUCUAACUAUGGCAAUACAUGGAACUGACAGCUUUUCAUAACAAUACUAUGAAAUAAUUAAGUAGAUAUAAGUAUACAGAUAUUAUUGUGAAAAAGGUAAAACAAAGUUCAAAUGGAGAUCAUGAAGACAUGGGGAAGUGAGAAUAGGGAAACUCUAAGUAAGCUAUUCAUUUUCUGGUUUAUUCUGAAAGCUAAUGUCUGCAUACAGACACACAGGGAAAAGUUAGUCUGAUAAUUUCCAGUAUAGAGCAAGAACUUACGCAAAUCACGAUAAGUGGAAAAUGGAAGAAAUGAAUAGAGAAAUAGAACUGCUCAGAGCAGUUAUAUUCUACAAAUUGGAAUAAAUAGAUUGAUGAUCUGUAGUUCUGCAAACACACAGUCUACUCAGAAAAUCGGCAGAACUUUCAGCUGGUAGGCUUUCUACUCUACCCCGGCGUAACUCAGCAAGCUACGUGGGAUCUACUGUUACACAAGGCUGAUGUUCAAACUGUGCCUCCUUGUGGUACUUUAGAAUAUUUUGAAAUCUAUAAGGAAAGAAGACUAGAGAGAGAAAGAAAAAGAAGAAAGGGAGAAGGGUAGGACCAAGGAUAGAAGUGGAGUUUGAAUUCAUUCAAUGUUCACCACCAGCACCAGCUUAAGCAACUUCACCUGCAUUGUUUCGUUCAUCCUCUCAGCGCCACUGUAAGGCGUCCUUAUCGUCAUUUUAUGGAUGAAGAAAUGCCAGUUCAAGGAAAUGAAGAAAUUGGUUCAACAUCACGACAUAAUAUUAUGAGAAGCAGAACUUUAUUGUGAACAGAUCUGUCUGUUUGUCCGCCUUUCUUCCAUUUACCACUGGUUUGAGUUUGGUUGAAUAAAAACCGAAAUCCUGCCCAAUGGCCAUACCAAGCCAUAGCCCCCCAUGACAUCAGAUGUCCUUUCUGAGGAAUUUCCCAAUCUCCUAGAAGACAACAGUCUGAUAUUAUGUGAGGUUAGAGAUAAGCUACUGCCUACUCUCUCUCUCACCCUAGGCAAAUUCACAUAACUAUGUUUUUCAACCUAAAUGCCAUGGGUUUUUACAAUAAGAAAGAGUAUCUAAGUAAACUCAAAUGUUAGCAUUGCGUUUAUUAUAUCUUUGCUAGGUGAGGAAGUUUACUCAGAAGGGCAGAUUUAUCACCAGAAGGCUGCAUAGAGAAUGUGGAGUCGAGUAUCCAGAGAUGGAUAUUUUUAAAGAUAUUUUAUUCAAGCUGAGUCUGAUAAAACCUGCUGAAAAACACUCUGACUUGGUUUAUUUGAAAAGUUCUUUUCCUUCUCAAUGGUGCACAUUUCUAUAAACUGAACUAUUCACAUUUGCUUCUCUUUCAAAAUCUGUGUCAAUUAAACCCUAAGAAAAUGUAUUUUUCACCACCUGCCUUUUGCCUGUAGUUCUAGUGACCAUUCUGAUUUUCGUUCCUAACCCAUUUCUAUUUGACUUUCAUUUUCCAAUUCUCUUUUGAGAUAUAUUCAGUUUCUAUAGUCAUUUCGGUUUGUCACCCAUUGGUCUUUGAUUUCAUGCUUAUUUCCAUCAGCGAUGCUUAAUCAUUUAUGCACUUGCAGCAGAGACAACCAGCUGUC